CGCAUGCGCAGGAGGGGUGGUUGUUUUUGCUGUAGCGGGUGGAAGAUUUUAUAGCUAGGCGAGCUAAUUAUUUUAUAAAUGAAAGGGCUAUAUUCAUACAACACAUCUACUCCUAGUUUACGCAGUGAUCCCAAUUUAUUAGGUUUACCCAACGCGCUAAACCAUAAGCUAAGAAAGGAAUUGCUGGCUGAGAAUGGAAUUGUUUGCGACUAAAAAGUAAUGAGUUUGUGCUUCUGUGUGCUGAGAAAACGCAGCCAAAAUAUGUUAGCUGGCUAUUUAGUUAUUUCGUGCAGGGGCCGUCCAAAUACGGGAAGGAAACCUAUAGGCAUAUAUUGAAGGCUUCUUUCAUUGUUUCUGUGCUUCCCCUAUUCAUUUAUCUUCAAUCUACAAACUUGUGUCAAGUCAAGUUCAGCAUUUACUAAGAGAAUGAAGACCUGUAACCAAAGGAAAUUCUGCCUACUAUCCCACCAGUAAUUCAUGUACAGAAAAAAUUGCAAAUCUGUUCCUUCACAGCUGGAAUACGAGUUGCUCCACCUACUAUUUCUACACUGUAAAUAUCUUCACGCUGUAGUUCUAGGAGGCAAACAGGAGAUAAUUUGUUUUUAUGGAUGAAAAAGAUAAUCAGUUUUAGAAGGAAUGGAUUCAUUUGGUGGAGAAACUAGAAUCCUAAAAAAGAAGCAUUUCACACUGCAACAUUUCAAUGCAAGCUUCACUUGUUUUGCUCUACUCUGAUUUCUACUUCUAUUAUGAUUAUUAUUGGAAUAGAAAAAAAAAAGAAAGUAUUUAUGAUGAAAUGCUUGUCUUCAUUCAGAUUGUCUACACUUAAACCAUUAUCAAUGGGAAUAACCAUCAGAACCUUAAAUGAGCUUUGGGGCCAUCUGGAGGCUGGUAACAGAUGUCCUAUACUGAACUUAUACAAUAUAACCAGAAACUAAGUUCAGAACACUGUGCUAUGCUGGUGCAUGGUACAAUAUUUUAAAGUGAUGGCCAAUAGUGAGAACUGCCAUUCAACAAAUGAACUAUUAGCAAACUAGUAACUAUUGACAAGUAUAAAAUAUAAGGUAGUUUUCUCCCCACCUCCUUUGUUUUGAUUGCUUUUAUCUGUUUUCAUCUUCUGUACAUUUAUGCCGGCUACUUGACUACACCAUCCUGAUCUCUACAAAGUCUAUGAAUCCCAAGGACCUGUUACUUAAUUCUAAGACACUCUUCUUGAGACUUAUAAUUUUGGUUGCUUAUUCAAUGUUAGAUCUGAAUCUGUAUGUCUAGCUCUUCUUUCCCAAUCUUCUACCAAAUUUUCCUUCCAGCACAUUUUCUUUCCAAACCAACAGAGUAUUCAAACCCAGUUAUGUACAUGGGUUAGGACUCUGUCCGUCUGUCUAUCCAUUAUCAUGACAACAGUCUAGAAACUAAGUAGAAGAGGAUCGAAUUUGGCAUGAAGAACUGAACAAAAGAAAUAUCAAGUUCAAAAAUAGACUGGAUCAGACUAGGAGCAACAGCAUAAAAAAAUCCACAAAAUUUCCCCAAAUGCAUUCCUUAGGGAAGAGGCAAUUUAGAGCUGCUCAGGAUACUACCAAUUCCUGCGACUGGGUGGUCAUGGCCAACUGGGCGGCCAUUACCCAAAGUGACGUGGGUAAACAGGGCCAAGGCAACACGGGGCAGCCCCUUACAUUUUCCAGAACAGCCCCGCAUGCUGGAUCCGACUACAUUGCGGGCCGCAUCCGGUCCAUGGCCAUUUUAUUUGACACCCUUGAUCUAGAUAAGUAUUUUCUUCCCUCAUCUUCUUAGCAUCUUUUCUGUACUUGAUAGAAUCACACAUACCCAACUUUGUAAUAACACCAAUACCAAAAUAUUAUAUUUUCAAUUUCCAUAAACAUUAAAGAAUUAAAGAAUAAUCAAUGUGAUAGGCAUGACCUACAGUAGCAAGCAGAAGCAUUUAUAUUAAAUAUAAGCAUCCAAAAUAAGCUGUUGCAGCAUUU